rnacentral:lncRNA from 1 species
ACCUGAGGAUAGAUGACUUCUAUAGAGGCCAGACGACUUCAUGUGGCUGUGAGAAACCUGAGGAACACCCUCUCCAACUGUUAGACAUGAGGAGAUCAAGAUUAAAAUUUAUUUGAUAAUGAUCUCUAACUUGUUUUGAUUCCUAUGGUAGAUUUAAUAGUUAGAUCUAGAAUUUCAGCAUCGAUGAGAUCAAUGUGAUUUUUAUUAUCAGAUUUAAAAUAUAUAUUUUUCAUAUCAAAGAUUUUGAUGUGGUAGUCUAAGAUUAGAUCUUAUACAUAUGAUUAAGAUUAAAUUAUUUAAUUUAUUA